ACUUACGGCUAUACCACCCUGAACACGCCCGAUCUCGUCUGAUCUUGGAAGCUACGCAGGGUCGGGCCUUUUUAGUACUUGGAUGGGAAACCGCCUGGGAAUAACCAGGUGCUGUAAGCU
rnacentral:rRNA from 1 species